rnacentral:rRNA from 1 species
GUACACCUUUUCAACCUGCCCUGGAGACAUGGACAACCCCGGGAAACUGGGAUUAAUCCGUGAUAGGUCAUCUCAUCUGGAAGGAGAGAUGGCUUAAAGGGAUGCGCGGGCUUCUUCUGCGUAUUUGCUCCAGGAUGGGACUGCGUCCGAUCAGGCUGUUGGCGGGGUAAUGGCCCACCAAGCCAGUAACCGGUACGGGCCUUGAGAGAGGUGGCCCGGAGAUGGACACUGAGAGAAGGGUCCAGGUCCUACGGGGCGCAGCAGGCGCGAAACCUUCGCAAUGCGCGAAAGCGUGACGAGGCUAGUCCGAGUGCUUCCUGCUAAAGGGAGCUUUUCUCGGCUGUAAAUAGGCCGGGGAAUAAGGGGAGGGCAAGUCUGGUGUCAGCCGCCGCGGUAAUACCAGCUCCUCGAGUGGUCAGGACGAUUAUUGGGCCUAAAGCACCCGUAGCCUGUUCUGUAAGUCCUCUGUUAAAUCCAGUCGCUCAACGGCUGGUCUGCAGAGGAUACUGCAGGACU